CAGGGUCAUGUGAUGAACAGAAGCAUAGUUCAGAUGAUAUUUUUGUGAUUAUUUCGUUUUAAGUCUUUCGCUCCUAUCUGAUGACCCUU